rnacentral:lncRNA from 1 species
GAUUCUAAUGCAGUGUUGGGAAUACCAAAGUUUACUGGGAAAUAAUACCUGUGAAAGGAAAAUGGGAAGAAGCCAUAUGUGCCAGGGGAUUCAUCAGAAAUGUAGACUGGACAGUCUGUAAGCUCCACUAGAGCACCAGAGCAACGGUUGCUGGUAAGAAGAGUUCCGUGUUUGGUCAGAAAUAACAAUAUCCUUGUACCUCUGGUCCCCCCCACCCCAGUCACUGGCAAAUGUUUAACGAUGGCUUUCCAAGGAGGGAGUGCUGAUUUGCAGCAUCUGUCAAUUUUUUCAGGGUAAAGGCUUGCACCAUCAUUGAUUUGAAGCUAUGGAGAUAACAUGAAUGCAGAAUUGAGAAGAAAUGUGCACCUACCAGCUCUUCCAUCAGCUGGUGUGAGCCAGGACACAUGGCUGGAAGUCACCCUGGAUAGUGACAAAUGUCUCCUUGAGAGAAACAUCACCACCACGCAAGAGCCACUAAUGCACUUGGACAGAGAGACCUGUGAUGUUGGAGCAUGAAUAACAAUUCUUCCACUUCUUACGGACAGAAACUGAAGUACAUUGCUGAUCUUCUGCUGCACAGAAGAUGAUGGUCGUCAAGUCUCCUGUGAUGAAAGAAGCCUUGUUCUAUUUGGUUUUCCUCAAUACUCAGAGACUGAGUGACUCGUCCAGAAGAAUCUGGGGACACUCUGGCCAGCACCAUUUGCUGGUUUCUACCCUUUGCUCUGUGGAUAUGACCUCCAUGAAAUCACCAGUGAGUUCCUACUCACAAAAGCUAAUGGG